GGGCGGGAUGGGAUCUCGGUCCAGCCGGGACUGGAGCAGCGACAAUUUUGGCUAGUCUGAGAAGGGCAUUCGAGUGACCGUUGACAACGUAUGGGACAGCGUCAAGGCUGAGGGAAGAACCUUGACCUCAUGCUUCCAGGACUUCUAGCUAGAUACCCACAGAGAUGCAACAAGAUGUUCAUUAUCUCAAAGCUUCCUGUACUGUCUUCAUCUUAGUCACAACUAAAGGGCCAUACCUGUGGCACACAGAACUUCUUGGACUAGGAGUCAAAUUGGAGCUGCAGUUGCUGGCCUAUGUCACAGCCUUAGCCAUGGCAAUAUUAGAUCCAAGCCACAUCUGAGACCUACACUGCAUGCUGCAGCAACGCCAGAUCCUUAAACCAAUGAGCAAUGCCAGGGAUCGAAGCCGCAUUCUCAUGGAUGCUAUGUUGGGUUCUUAACCUGCUACGCUACAAUGGGAACUCCCAAAGCUUUGAUUUUUAACCUCUAAAAUUUUAGAGGUUGUUCUGGCUCAUUAUGACUGUUAUAGUAUUACUAAGUAAAGUUGAAUGUGCCUGUAUUUAUUAGUCAGCAAUUCAAGUAAUUGGAAUUUGGCCUGUUGACUCUGCAUGAACAAACCAUUUAGAAGAAUGCUUUACAAGAGUCUUUC
rnacentral:lncRNA from 1 species